CUUCUCUCCGUUUUCCUCCUUCCUGCCAUGUUGAAUGUGUCAGCCUCUCCUUCACCUUCCACUCUGAUUCUGGCUGCUCUCCUCUACAUUCGGUGGCCUUGGGAACACCAAAGAUGUGGCCUUGGCAACACUUGCACAUCGAGGUCAAGAGGCCAGGAAGAGCAUCCUGCCUUCUAACUCCUUUGAAGUUUACUCAAAAUUCUCAUCCUGAACUGGACUUUUGGACUCAACAACAAAAGAUCGUGGCCAGUCUGUAUCACACGGGGCUUGGAAAGUAGUCAUAAGAGAACACACUUUCAUUACUGUGGCCUGAAAAGUGCAGGGAUGACGCUGUGUUUCAGAGGAAUUCAUAAGCAGAAUUGAAUUUGUUUUAGUUAACUCCUUAUUUGAUUGGAAUAUUGUCGACUUAACAAAAUAGUAGAAAGAGCAUUGGGCUGAAGUGAGAAGAUUUGAAUUCUAGUCCAAAAUCUGUUACUAACCAGCUCUUUGACCCUGAGAAGUCAUUUGACUUGAAUUAUAGUCUUUUUCUUAUAUGGGAAAGGUGGAGUAUACUCAGAGUCUCUCCUAAGUGCUAAGAUUCUGUGAUUCUAUGAAAUCAGACCAUCAGAGAGGAAUACUGCAGUGUUCUCCUGCAUGGGUUGUAAAUGAGAAAAAAGAAAGAAGGAGAGCAAAAUGACUUAAAGACAUUUUCAAGAAAAAAAGAGGAGAGAAGUCACUGAAAUGGAAAAAUAAACAUAUUAUAUAACUAUUUAUUGCACUAUGCAAUAAAAACAUCUUCAGCAACAGCCACACAAGUGCGGGUAGAGGGUCUGCUUUGAAGAGAGAAAAAAGGCUGCUGCAGAAAAAACAAACCUCAAUUCAUAAUUGGAGCUUUUGUUCUUUCUGGAUUGUUUUGUGAAGAACAUGCUGCCAAAAAACAUUUUUCUUCUGUAACCGCUUCUUUUGAAACUCCAUUCUUUUUUAUUUCAAGGAUGUUUAUUAUCUACUCAUUUCUUUUUAUUUAUUUUUGAAUCAUAUACCCCAAUGUCUAGAUGACUGGGACCACUAGGUUUCAUAUUUCCCAGAUGAGAUUAGUUGUACAGUUCAUUUUGCAGGUUUAUUCAGAGCAUUUCAAUGGCAUUUCACCUACAGUUCACCUAUAUUGAGUCCUAAGAAAUUGAAGGUGUUUCUUGAUAGUUCUCCUGCUCCAUCUUCUUCCAGGGGAUUGAUUUGGCUUCUUAUGUUUUUGUAUUUGGUUGCUCAUUAGAGAUAAGCCUGAUUAUUUGGCAUUGUGUAUUUUCUCUGUUUUAAAAAGGGAAAAUACAACAUGUUAUUAAUUAUUAUGAUAUAAUAAAAAAUGGAGAGAAGGAAAAA
rnacentral:lncRNA from 1 species